UGUCCAGUCCAGUCCAUGUUUUGUACUAUACCCAGUUGUUCCGUAUGCUAGGAUUAAAACCGCGCUUUAAGAGGCUGUCUCUAUAAGAACAGACCAAUGACUCUCGACUCAAAAAAUGAAAUUCCCCGUUACUGCCACAAUGAAAUUUAUUUACCCCAAGAACAAACAAACAAACACUAUUUGGAAUUUUGAAUUUUUAUUAAGUUUUAAAAUUUCAGCGAUUUUUCGGUUCCGCGCAGUAGCGCAGAAAAUCCUCAGCCUAUAUCAGGCAUAAAAAUUAGCCGAAUUCAAAUACAUAUAAUUUUAAAAGUAUUUAACCAAAUUUUAUGAUUUUUUCACCCACCAACGUGAAAAUUAUUCUACUUUGAAACUUGUCUUGUUUUAUGAUGCUUUUACAGAACGAUUAUGACAAACUUUAGCGAUAACAAGCACCGGAUCUAAAUACGGCUUUGUACGCAUACCAAAUUCGACUUUAAAUUUCUCAAAAGUGGCACCUAUAACUGGAUACCGUGACUAAUAUGGUUAAAAAAGGGACGUUUGAAGCCCCAAUAUCCACAAUAAAACUUGUUACCAAUCGCGUUUGAAGACUCCACAAUCGUCCACAAAAUAUAUUGAGACUUUUUAAAUCAAUCCCCUCCCCCCUUAUUUCAAUGUUGAAACCUACGGUACUUAUCCAAAACGAACAUAAGGUGACACUAGAACUGUAACUGUGUCACUGGCAGUUGAAAUUUAACAUAUGAUGUUGGAAUUAAACUAUAUUGUAGUGCCUAACAACAUUGAAAUCGGGGGAUGGGGUUUGUCUCAAAUAUUUUGUGGACGAUUGUCUGAAAAUUGAGGAAAAUCGAGCACAGCUUUUGGCUAUUUAUUGCAUAAUAUUUUCUUUGCCAGCGCUUAUGUUAAUGUAUACGAACAAAAUUUGCAUAACAUAUUUGGACUACAUAGUAUACAUGCCGAUAUACAAGUAUUAUAUUAUGCGAUAGUUUGUCCAAGUUAAGUUAAAAUCCAUACCUUACAGGCAUCUAACAUUCCUUCGCAAGCUUGCCUUCGAUUCGACAAAAUAUAUCGAUAAUGAAUAAAGAAUAACACGCAACCCAUCACAAAUCCAGAUUUUUCUAUUUUAAAGUACUAUGUAAAUUCAAGAACAACGCCAGCAUGUCAACAACCUCGUUCUCAAACUGGAAAUUAGCCAUUUGGGUUAGUUUAAUUAAUGUAUAUGCAUGGGCUACCUGUUUUCGCUCCAAAUUCAAAUUUUAACAACGCGUUACCACGCGUUACCAUACGUGUUACCACUAAUAUCAAACAGUUAUUAUUGCUACAAUAAGAAAGUUCAUUUCUAACGGUUCAAAACUACAAAAUCGAUAUGCAAGCAAUGAUUAACAACGCGUUACCAUGAGUUUGGCACGCGUUACCACGCGUUACCAUCUUUUAUUUAAAAAACUACUAUAUACAUUUUAUUAAAAACUUGACGGUAACGCGUGGUAACGCGUUGCUUUAUCAACAAAAUACCAUAAUGAAUAGAAUUACUAGGCGUUAACGCGUAUGGUUAUCCGAGAUAACGCAUGGAAAUGCAUUGUUUUAGUAAUAGAAAAGCCAAAUAGACAAUUAGUACAUGGUAACGCGUAUGGUAACGCGUGGUAACGCGUGGUAACGCGUGGUAAUGUGUUCUGUUCGUAAUAGAAAAGCCAUAUUAUAAAACAAUUAGUACAUGGUAACGCAUGUGGCAAUGCGUGGUAACACGUUGCUUUAGUAAUUUAUAUUUCAAAUGCCAUAUCAAACAUUAGUUUAUGGUAACUUGAAUAAAUUAAAACUUUGCCCCACCAAGUAAUCAAAAAUUAAUUAAAAAAUGCUUAUAGUUUCAUCAACAUUCAAUUAUCCAUUAACUUGAGUAACUAAAGUAUUAUUAAUCCAUGUGAAGUUAUACGACUUUUUCUAAGAACUAUGCACGGUUAAUUCUCUAAGUUAAAUGACC